rnacentral:rRNA from 1 species
AGUGAACGCUGGCGGCAGGCCUAACACAUGCAAGUCGAACGGCAGCACAAGAGAGCUUGCUCUCUGGGUGGCGAGUGGCGGACGGGUGAGGAAUGCAUCGGAAUCUGCCCAUUUGUGGGGGAUAACCUCGGGAAACCGGGACUAAUACCGCAUACGACCUACGGGUGAAAGCAGGGGAUCUUCGGACCUUGCGCAGAUGGAUGAGCCGAUGCCGGAUUAGCUAGUUGGAGGGGUAAAGGCCCACCAAGGCGACGAUCCGUAGCUGGUCUGAGAGGAUGAUCAGCCACACUGGGACUGAGACACGGCCCAGACUCCUACGGGAGGCAGCAGUGGGGAAUAUUGGACAAUGGGCGCAAGCCUGAUCCAGCCAUGCCGCGUGUGUGAAGAGGGCCUUCGGGUUGUAAAGCACUUUUGUUGGGAAAGAAAAGCAGCCGGUUAAUACCCGGUUGUCAUGACGGUACCCAAAGAAUAAGCACCGGCUAACUUCGUG